rnacentral:rRNA from 1 species
UACGGAGGGUGCGAGCGUUGUCCGGAAUUACUGGGCGUAAAGGGCGCGUAGGCGGCCUACUAAGUCGGACGUGAAAUCCCUCGGCUCAACCGGGGAACUGCGUCCGAUACUGGUGGGCUCGAAUCCGGGAGAGGGAUGUGGAAUUCCAGGUGUAGCGGUGAAAUGCGUAGAUAUCCGGAGGAACACCGGUGGCGAAGGCGGCUUCCUGGACCGACACUGACGCUGAGGCGCGAAAGCUAGGGGAGCAAACGGG